rnacentral:lncRNA from 1 species
GUCUCAUGCGAUGCUGUCCAAUAGAAAUACAAUGGGAGUCACUGCAAAGGCAAACCACCUAGAUAAUUUUAAGUUGUCUAGUAACCACAUUAAAAAAUAAACAGGUGAAGUUAAUUUUAAUAUAAUCCAGUAUAUCUAAAAUAUUAUCAGUUAAAAAGCUAAUCAAUGUACAAAGCGUUACUGAGAUAUUUUACUUUCUUUUUUUAUAUCAGGUCUUUUGGCAUUAAAUAUCUUAAACAUACAUCAGAAUUUUAGCUACAUUUCAAGCACUCAUUUGAAAUAUGUGACUAGUGGGUCCCAAUCAGUGCACGUCUUAGUUUAGCUGGUUGUUAGAGUUGUGGUGGAUUUUAGGUUAGUUAAUAAUGAGGGAAAUGUAGAGAAAGGCCUGAGGUAAAAGAAACCAAAUACACUUUGUCUCACUUCAGGAUUUUGCCCACAGUUGACCUGGAACUCAGCAAUAUCUAUCUUUUUACUUUCUGAUCACAGAGGAAGGAAAUUCUACAGCUUAAGAACUUUAUGGAUGAAAGAUGGAAACUGUGUAAAUCUCUCCAGUGGUCAGACUAUAAAGUCAAGGGAAAAACUGAAAAUCAUGUGUCUACUGAAGAAUACCUCCUUUUGUUACCCUGCCAGACUUCUUAUGUGACACAAGAAAAACAGUGCCACCAUGGGCAAGCUUGAGGGGCAAACAACAACACAGAGAGAAAUGGGGCACCCCUUUGUGCUGUGUAGCAGCUUACGUGGGACUCUUUAGCUGUCAGUGCAAAUGUGAAUCCAGAUCACAGCACGUUCAAAGUAUUUUUGCUGUGCUACAAGGCUGAUCUCCAUAUAAAGGACAGCAGGAAUGAAGAUAUCUAGAAAAACUGAUUUGUAAAAGACUAUACAUCAAAUUUCUGUUGAAUGCUGCUGGAAAGAAUGACAUAAUGAAAUAUUCUGAAACACUUGCCUAUUCUGUAAAUAAGGUUAUUCAAGUACUCAGGGAAAAAGUGGUAGAAUUCACAAAGUUAGCUUGCAGGCCAAAUCUAUUUCUGUAAGGCCUGUGAGCUAAGAAUUUCAAUUUUUAAAAGAUUUAUUUAUUUUGAAAGUCAGAGUUAGAGAGAGAGAAAUAGAAAGAGAUAUCUUCCAUCCACUGAUUCAUUUCUCAGAUGGCUGCAGUGGCCAGCACUGGGCCAGGUUGAAGCUAGGAGCUAGGAGCUUCUCUGAGUCUCCCACAUGGGUACAGGGGCCCAAAUACUUGGGUCAUCUUCUGCUUUUCCCAUGCAUGUUAGCAUAGAGCUGGAUCAGAAGUGAAGCAGCCCGAACACAAACCAAUGCCCAUAGGGGAUAUGGUGUUGCAGGUGGCAGCUUUACCUCCUAUACCACAACGCUGGCCCCAAGAUUUUAAAUAUUUUUUACAUUGUUGUAUGGUUGGAGAAAAGAACCUGAAAUAAUAUUUUGUGACACCUUAAAAUACAUGAAAUGCAAACUUCAG